GAGACCGAUAGCAACCACGUGAUCAGUAAAAAUCGUGUAUUUUCACGUGAAAUUAUUUUUCGGAAUUCCGUACAUCGCCAUAGAGUAGUUGAAAAACAAAAAGGGGUUCCGAAAGUACAAGUUGUUGCUGUGACUGAAUCGAUGAUUGAGAGGGUCGUCUCGACGAAAGAUAUAGAAAUUUGGCCAUAGUUUAGAUUAGGAAUACGUCAAUGUAAUAAUAGUGGACUAAAUGUUUCGUCCGUGCAGAAUGGCACUUUUUACCUCACGAAAUUCACCACCAUGCAUAGCUGCGCUACGUAAACAAAGUUGUUGAUGUAGCGUGAUCGUGAUGUCCGAGUUUCAAUACUGUUUAUGUAGUCAUUGAGAGUUUAAACAAAGUUUCUUCUGAGAAGAGGAAUUCGAUGGAUGCAUUCAACGUGGACAACGAAAUCAUAAUUUCGUUUGCAUCAUCCUAAGGACCAGUGCAAGUUGAAAUGGGCUUCCAGCCAACAACUUCAACAGCAAUUUGCCAUGAAAAUCAGCAAGAAAGGUACUUCAUUUACAUUGAUGAUGUCAUAUCUCCUGGACCCCACAACUUUACAGGUUACAGAGAAAAUUCAAGAACUUCUGCAAAAUAUGGGACUUGGAUAGAAUCAAUAAUGUAUUUGUGAGCCCAGAGCAAUGGAUAUAUUGUGCAACAUACUAAAGUGUGAAUUUAAUGGAAAACAAGUACAUGUACUCAUGUAUUACAUGUCUUUUUUAAAGACAAUAAUAUUGUAUAAAUAUAGAGGAAGUGUCAUUGUUGAUUAUUCUAAGUUUUUGAUAUAUCAAAAUCAGUAAACAUUUCUAAAUGAAAAUAAAAUACCAAUUUUAUAACUUUAA